rnacentral:tRNA from 1 species
GUGGGUAUACCUCAGUGGUAGAGUACAUGCUUAGCCUGCAUGAGGUCCUGGGUUCAACCUUCAGUACCCCCA